UACAGGUCGGUGCCGAGCCGCGUGAAGCCGGAGUUGAGCGAGGCCCGGGCUAUCCGGCGCCAGAGCAGGUCGCAGCUGGUGAAGCGCCGCAGCCAGCGGCACACUUGCGCCAGGCGGCCGAGGGCCCGCAUGUCCAGGGCCUCCCGGAGCACUUGGUGGAAGCACUUGCAUUCAGUCAUCAAGCUGGUUCUGAGGCUUGCUGAAAGGCCCCAUCUGAGGCUACAAAGGGAGCCCCCGCCUUCAGGAAGCACCAAGAUGGAGCCCCUGCCCUCAAGCAGCACCUAGUUGAGUGGCCUUCCCCUCACGGAACCUUUCUCUUUCCCAGGGAACAGGAAUGAGUGAGAAAUCAAUUCUGAAAAUGAUUCAUUCAGCAUGGCCAAAGAGAGACUAGGGGAAGCUGCAGCAUUGUAUUACAGAAGAAUCAUGUAACAAGUUUUUGGCAGACACAACAUCUUUGUUUGUGGUGCUGAGGAUCGAACCCUGGGCCACAGGAAUGCCAGGCGAGCGCAUUACCGCAUGAGCCACAUCCCCAGCCCUGUUGUUGUUGUUGUUGUUGGUAGAAAUAAAUAUAACAUGAUUCUUGUGUUUUGUGUUCUUAUUUGUGUUGACAUGUUUGUAACUUUUUUGAGUUUUUUAACCCUUUGUUUACACAUAGUAAAGCUGAGUAGUUCAUCCAUAUUGAUUAUAUAUACCUAAUUUUUAGUGGAGAUUUCAAACCACAAAAACAAAAUUAUUUAAUUAACUCAAUAUAAAUUGUCAGGAUUAAAAACCCACAAACAAGUAUAUUUUACUCUUUAUUUCGUAUUGCCUUAAUUGCUGGAGAAAUCAUACUAUCAUUUUAAAAUAUCAAAUCACUGUGCUAUACCCAAGCUACAGAUCAGGUGAACUGUUUAGGCUAGAAGUCAUGGUUUAAUGAUCUCCAAAAUUAAUAAAAAGUCCUGCCAGGCACAGUGGCCUAUAUUCGUAAUCCCAUUGAUUUGGGAAGCUGAGGCAAGAGGAUUACAAAUUCAAGGCCAGCCUUGGCAACCUAGUGAGGCCCUAUCUCAAAAUAAAAAAAUACAAAGGCCUAAGGUUGUAACUCAAUAGUAAAGCACCCCUGGGUUCAGUUCCCAGUACCAAAAAAAAAAAAAAAAAAUAGUAAAUCAAAGUACUCACUACACAGGAAGAAAGGCAAAUGGAAAAUUAGCAAAUAUUUUAUUAUUUGGAGGUACUAUUUGUCCCAAACAUUUUUUAAAAAUAAAAAACAAGCCAGGCACAGUGGUACGUACCUAUAAAUCCCUAUGGCUCAAGAGGCUGAGGAAGGAGAAUUGUGAAUUCAAAGCCAGCCUCGGCAACUUAGUGAAGCCCUAAACAAUUAGAGAGACCCUGUCUUGAAAUAAAAUAGAAAUAGGGCUGCAGAUGUGGAUUAGUGGUUAAACACCACUGGGUUCUUAAAUUCUAAAAAGUAGAAUUUAAUGCUUUAUAAAAACUUCUAAAUGAUGGUGGAAGUCCACCUUAAAGAGGACUUUUAGGUGCAGAUAUAUUAAGUCCUUUAUGUUUCUGUGUCCAUAUAAGUGACAUUCCUAGUGGUGAUUGUUGACAUG